rnacentral:lncRNA from 1 species
UUCAAUCUAGGAAAGAAUCCCGAACUGCUACAGGGAGCCAACUUUGAACCAAAAAACAAGUAAAUAAGCAAGAAGGGUAUCAAAUAUAAAAAUAUGAGGAGCACCAACUCUUCAAAAUAGUAAAGAUUCACAGGCGUCAACAUAAAAUAAUUAAAUUUAGCAUAUGCAACAACCAUCUAUGGAAUCAAAUGGCCACUGUUCCAAAGCUGCAGGGUAUUUAUAAUUCACAAGUUACCAAUUACCCCGUUUCCCCACUUCCUCUUUCCAAUUUAAUACAAUUAGGCAUGGCACAAAGAAAUCGCUCCUUAUAAUAUUUCUCAAAGAUAAACUACCAUAUAUCCAUCCGAGUUUUAACCAAAGAAACAGUAUCCCCAGAACUCCAGAACCAAGAAAAUGUUACAUUAUCAACAACCAAAAUUUUAAGUCAAGAAAACAAAUAUCCAACAAAGGUAUUUCAACUGGUAUAAGAGUUUAACAUGAACAUGGAACCAUCUGAAGCUAAAUUGAGGUCCAACAAUGGUUUUAUUAUUUGGAACACAAGUAUUUCAGCAACAUAUCUAUAAAAAAACAAACGAAAAUGGCUACCAAUCAAGGAAUGAAAUUGAGGAAACAUGAAUAAUUCCAUACAACUCUCAUCCAACCAAAUCUAAAAUUUUAUAUUAUUCAACCAAAUGUAGUACCUGGUUUCAACAAAAUAUCGAGCUCAACGAAACAGAGGCUGUAGCAGCACAUAGCCUCAAAACUUCGAAUCCAAAAUAAAACUCGAACACCCAAAAAUUGAGGAGAUAAUGCAGCGAAAAUCAGCAGGAGCAGCAACAACAAUAGCAACACUGAGAUUCUACAACUUAUACAAACCCAGGAAGAAAAGAAAUUUGAGCUUUGAAAUCAGUUAUUCUUCGAACCUUCUUUUGAAUUCCAAGUUUCCCUUAGUUUUCAACUAUUAGCCAAUGUCAAAUAGAGCCAGAUCAGUGUGGAUUUAUGUGAUCAUAUCGACUAACUUUCAGAAGAGAAGAGUGAGGUCUGGUUUUCGCUCAAAAUGAGGAAGAUGAAGCUAGAAAUGGCGUCUCUGAUUGUGUUCAUAUGCGUGCAUUUUUCAGAGAAAAAGAGGGAGUCUCGUUCAAGAAGUAGCAGGGGCCCGUUUUCUGCUUGGGAUCUAUAUCUACUUUCUUCGCUUCAAAAAUCAGUGGAUGAGGGAGGGGUUCUGUUUGUUGGUGCUGAAGAAUGAAGAUGAAGGGCAGGGAAAAGCUGCGCUUCUUUUUGUUGUUGUUAGG